GACGAACGCUGGCGGCGUGCCUAAUACAUGCAAGUCGAACGCAGUGGGGACGGGUGAGCAACACGUGGGUAACCUCCCCUCAGAGGGGAUAACACUUGGAAACAGGUGCUAAACCGAUACUGAUGGAUGAACCCGCGGGGCAUUAGCUAGUUGGUGAGGUAAAGGCUCAGCCAGGCAACGCUUCAUAGCCGACCGGAGAGGGUGAGCGGCAACACUGGGAAGGAGACACGGCCCAGCCUCCGACGUGAGGCAGCAGUAGGGAAUCUGCGGCAAUGGACGAAAGGCUGACCGAGCAACGCCGCGUGAGUGAAGAAGGUUUUCGGAUCGUAAAACUCUGUUGUUAGAGAAGCGGUAUCUAACCAGAAAGCCACGGCUAACUACGUGCCAGCAGCCGCGGUAAUUC
rnacentral:rRNA from 1 species